rnacentral:rRNA from 1 species
GUCUACGGCCAUACCACCCUGAACACGCCCGAUCUCGUCUGAUCUCAGAAGCUAAGCAGGGUUGGGCCUGGUUAGUACUUGGAUA